rnacentral:misc_RNA from 1 species
GAAAUGCGAUACUUGGUGUGAAUUGCAGAAUUCAGUGAAUCAUCGAAUCUUUGAACGCACAUUGCGCCCCUUGGUAUUCCAUGGGGCAUGCCUGUUCGAGCGUCAUCUACACCCUCAAGCUCUGCUUGGUGUUGGGCGUCUGUCCCGCCUCCGCGCGUUGGACUCGCCCCAAAUUCAUUGGCAGCGUUCCUUGCCCCCUCUCGCGCAGCACAUUGCGCUUCUCGAGGGCGGCUCCGGGAUGGCGACCCACGAAAGAUGACCACCGUCUUUGACCUCGGAUCAGGUAGGGAUACCCGCUGAGUUUAA